GCCGGGAACGCGCCCCCACAGCCCCUCUUCCCGCCCGCAGCGGCUCAACCAAUCAGCGCGCGGAGCGGGCCGAAAAGCCCGCCCCCAGCCUUGCGGGCGGGAAAGAAACAUCCAAUGGAACGCCCCAGCGCGGCGGUCCCGCCUCCCCUCUGGCCAGUGGGAAGUGGUGUUGGCGAGGAGUGGCAUCGCGGAUAGCCAAUCAGAGCCGGAAGGUCGGGGUCAAGGGUGAGCGUGGGCGCUGAGAGAAAAUGGCGGCGGCGGGGCGGCGGGGCGGCGCGGGGGGCUCCGAAUCGACCCCAAAAUGUCCCCUUUUUGAGUGACAAACGUGAAGCAAUCAGCUAGAAGUUUAUUGGGGGCGGGGGGGCGCUGACGCCCAAUCGGCCCCGACGUGCGCGGGUCCGCGCGUCCCCACAGCUCCGCAUUGUCCCAAUGGGACGUCAGGGUGAGCCCGUGGAGGACCCCCCGUGUACCCCAUAUGGGACGUGGGGACAUCAGGGGGUCCCUGAGGCAUGGAGGACCCCCCAUGUGCCCCCAUAUGGGGUGUGGGGACAUCAGGGGGUCCCUGAGGCAUGGAGGACCCCCCAUGUGCCCCCAUAUGGGGUGUGGGAAUGUUCCUAAGGCAUGGAGGACCCCCCAUGUGCCCCUCUCUGUCCCUAUAUGAUGUUGCCCCCAGGACAUGGGAGACCCUCCCAGUGUUCCCAUAUGGGACAUCAGGGCAUCCCCAGGACACGGAGGACCCCCCUGGUGUCCCCAUAUGGGACAUGGGGUUGCCCCCAGGACAUGGAAGACCCUCCUGGUGCCCCCAUAUGGGACAUGGGGCUGCCCCCAGGACAUGGAAGACCCCCCCGGUGUCCCCAUAUGGGACAUCAGGGCAUCCCCAAGUCUUGGAGGACCCCCCAUGUGCCCCCAUAUGGGACAUCAGGGCAUCCCCAGGACACGGAGGACCCCCAUGUGCCCCCAUAUGGGACAUCAGGGCAUCCCCAGGACACGGAGGACCCCCCAUGUGCCCCCAUAUGGGGACAUGGGGUUGCCCCCAGGACAUGGAAGACCCUCCCAGUGUCCCCAUAUGGGACAUCAGGGCAUCCCCAGGACACGGAGGACCCCCCUGGUGUCCCCAUAUGGGACAUGGGGUUGCCCUCAGGACAUGGAAGACCCUCCCAGUGUCCCCAUAUGGGACAUCAGGGCAUCCCCAGGACACGGAGGACCCCCCAUGUGCCCCCAUAUGGGAUAUGGUGUUGCCCCCAGGACAUGGAAGACCCCCCUGGUGCCCCCAUAUGGGACAUGGGGCUGCCCCCAGGACAUGGAAAACCCUCCUGGUGCCCCCGUCUGUCCCAUAUGGCGUCGCCCCCAGGACACGGAGCCCCCCACCGCCCCCCUACUCGUCCCCGCUCAGCCCCUGCAGCGCUCGGGCCAACCUCUGCGUCCCCUCCUGGUCCUUCAGCACCGUCCCCAGCGCCGUCACGGCGUUGCCGAGCGCGCGGGCGCUGCCGGGGAACCCUCGGUCGGCCUGCAGGUCCCGGGCGACGGCGGCGGCCAGGAGCCUCAGCUGGGUGCUCACCUCCUCCAGCGUCUCCCGCGCGGCGCUGGCGGCGCCGAUGGCUCCGGUGGCUUCGGCGGCUUCGGCGGCGUCGGCGGCGGCGCUCUGAGCCAUGCGGCCGUAACGGGCCGUCUGCCGCCGCUGCUCCUCCGCCGCCGCCGCCAAAUGGGCCUCGGACUUCUCGGCGCCCCAUAGGGCCACCUGGCACACGGCCGUCACGGUGGCCAGGCACGGCACCACGUGGCUCUCCUGCGUCACCCCCAGCGCCUCCCGCACCGCGUCCACGG
ensembl:lncRNA